UCCCUGGAGGGCUAGUGGUUAGGCCACAGCGCCCUCACCACUGUGACCUGGGUUCAAUUCCCAGCCAGUGCA